UUGUAAACUGUGCUCUUUAUCUGCUCUCAGAUUUAGCUCUCGGAAAGGAAGUGGAAAAAUGAAAAAAAUGUUUUCUGUUGCUUUGCCCUCUGCCCAGUCAAGUAUGUCUUCUGUUGCUUUGCUCUC